rnacentral:sRNA from 1 species
GGCCCCCCUGCUUCAGACAACGAGAAAUUGAUUGACCAAAAAAUAAGUGGCCGCCACUUAAAUCAAAUCAUAUCAAAUGCUUAGCUGGCCAUAUUUGUACCUGUAUAAAAACCACUCCAUUAUCGACAAGCAGGAUAAACUAUCGGAGGGUAUCCAUGUCCAAGUGGAAAAUAUGAAAAGCUUAAAGAAAACGUAUUUAUAUUGUUUGGCCAGGGGUUUCUUUCUCCCGCUAUCUGAACUGAACUUUCCUGUGUCCGAUAUGAGGAAAAUAGAAAUUGCUUUUUGGUCAGAGUACACAAACACACAGGCUACAGUGGACACACACGAAUGGGAGUUGGCCUGGCCAGAGCGGAAUCUACAAAAAAAAAAUGGAAAUUAAGUUGCCACAAAGCAGAUACGAUACCCUCCAAGAGGCAUGCCAGGCAGUCGGCCCGAAUAAAUGCACGAAAUCAGCAUAAUGUAAUGGAAACAAUUUUUAUGACAACAGACCAAAGGAACCCCACCCGAAAACGGGAAUGGAAUGGUAUUGUAUGGCAGGGCAUGGCAUUGGGUGACAACAACAACAAAUGGCCCUGGCCCUGAGGAUGGCAUCCUCCUUUGGCAGUCCCAUCGGAGACCCGGGAGUCCUAUCCCACUCGGACUCCGACUCGGACCAAUGUCAGCGUAAAACUGACAAAUUAGCAUUUUUUCCAUUUUCCGGAUCCAGUUUCCUUGCCCCCCACCCCCCACUCCCCGCCAACUAAAUAUUUGUCUGGCGACCGCAGCAAAAAAAAAAAAACUUAUAUAUGUAAUGUAGAAAAAAAAAAGGAAAACCGACUGGUAAAAUAGUUGAGUUGAGUUAUUUUUGCAGCUGACCUAAUUUUAUAAUGGAAAACUUGCGAUAAGUCGGACAAAUACCAAAAAAAAAAAAAAAAAAUAGUAAGUGGGGAGGAGUUUCGAUGCGGUUGGCCGAAGUUUGGAAUACUCUUGGGGUGGGGCGAAUAAUAAAUGGAUGCUUAGCAGAUUAGGGCAUAUAAUGUAUGGAAAAAUAUUACAUGCAUUGGAAAUAGUAGAUGGAUGUUCGGUGGAUUGGUUUAUAUAUAAGGGAUGGCUAGAAGAAAUUCAAAUAGAAAUUACUAGAUAAAGAAUUGGGAGUAUGCUGGACAAUAUAUUAUUGGGUUUUCCAACUCAAAAACACGAGCGUUUUGUGGGGCUUGUAGGUCUUAGAAUCGCAAUAGUUUUAGAAGACUUUACCCUGCCACGAAAUCUUCCAUUACUCGCCCUUGAAAGAGUAUGAAAAAAAUUACAAAAGGCCAGCAAGAAAUUGAAGGCAAUAGAUGAAGAUGGCAAAGAAACGGCCCCAGAGGUGGAGCUGGAGACAGUGCUUCAGGCAGAUAAAUAGCCAGUUGGCCCUGGUCUUAGUGCCUUUUCAUUUCAUUCCAUUCCAUUUCAUAGAGCGAGCUAGAGAGAGAGAGAGAGCUAGAGAGAGAUGGGAUAGAAGAGCUGGAGAAAGGCGGGCAAAUAAAUCUCUUUUGUGUGGACCUGAAUUUAAUUUCCACAUGCUCAUGAAUAAUUUUCAAAUUUUCAAAUUCAGUAAAACGUGAAGCGUAUUUCCGGAAGUCCUUCUCGCCCCAGAAACGCCCCCGCCCCUCCCACUCCCCUGGCGACAGGCACGACAGGGAAUGCGACAGCGACAGGGACAAAGACAGAGACAUCGCACUCAUCUGACGCUUAGUCCUUUUAGUCCUUUUUGGGCAUAAAAAGUUAUGUCAUCAGAAGAUAUAUGGCCAUAUUAGAAGACUCCCAGCCUUAGGCCCAGACUCCCACAACCAAAUCACCUGCAAAAGCAAAAGCAAACGACAUGAGAGCAGAGAUUUCUUCAAAGUCCUUUCCUCCACCUGAAAGAAAAGGUUUCAUGCGACUUUUUGGACCUCUUCCCAGAUGUUAAAAGGCACUCAACUGCUUACUCCCCCGUUUUUUGGGGGAUUGGCUUGGCCAGGAAAGAACUCUGAAAAACGAAGACCUGGGCUGAGAAGGGCAAUCCUUUUUUUGUUGGAAUUCACAGCCAGGAUCCGGCAAGUCCUUGCCCAGGAACCGCUGAUCGGUUUGGAAACGUCUAAAAGCUGCCAGACCGGACACCUGCUUCUUGGGGAUGUGGAACAGAAGCUUUAUGUCGUAGAUGGCAAUCGCCUGCGAAGAACCUCCUUCCAUAAAUUCAAGUUAGCCCUCCAUUUUGGCUUUGCUCUCAGGAGCCGUCGGAUGGGUAUUGCACUCCACGCGUGUUGGAGUUUCCCCAACGCUUAGAAGGAGAAGCUAAUGGGCUGUGCUGCUCUGAUGAAGAGCCUUAAACCCAUAGCCCAAGGGAUUAUUUUCGGGAUUUCAUUUACCGGAGAAGAUUGCCAUAGUGCCGACUUGAGAGAAUUUAGAUGCAAGAAUGUAGAUGUCCAGGCAAUAUUAUAGCCGUAAAAAAUAUAUGCAACAAACUAAAAAUAAAGUGCAUAAGCCCUUAUACUAAAUUUAAAGAAAAAAAUUAUAAAUAGUAAAGAAAAACAAAUUCCUUUCUUCUCUCUCACUCAAGCCUAACCCUGUCAUAAACUUCACUUGGAACGAGAGCACUCAUUCCUCUUUCGUUCUCUUCUUCACUGCAUCCCACUACUACUCUCCAAUAAUGGGAGUGGGAAAGGGACAAAACUUGAUAAAUUUUCAAACACGCACACACACACA